GGCACUGGGAACACAGGGACUACAUGGCCCAGAAUAAAAUGACAGACUCCCUCCUGCCCUCGGGGAGCCAACAGGCUUGUGUGGAAGACAGACACUGAACGGAUCAAUCAGUAACAUAUGGAACAUGCUAGAUGGUGACAGAGGAGAGAGGAGGCGGGGAAAUGCAGGCUGGGGGUUGCUGCAGGGAGGAAGGCCUCGAGGAGGGGAGAGCUCUGGGGGAGGAGCUUAAGGUAGGGGUGGGGCAGGCCACCUCUGUGCUCUGGCCUUGGCCUGCCUCCAGGGUGGAAGUAGGGGUGCAGGCCAUGGAACCAGCCUGUAUAAAGUGCCAGGGAAGGGGCAACGCCUGGGAAAGUAGCACCCGAGAGGAGGAAUGUGACAGCAGCCACUGUGCAGAAGCACAGGGAAGAAAGCAGCUGACCCCUUGGCUAGACCUUACCAGAAGAGUGGGCCAGAGCCAGAUUGGGAUUGGCCUUUAGUGUUACUCCCCAAGGCAACUGAAGCUGUGCCCUGCGGGCAGUGGAGAGCCAUAGAAGGCUCUAUGCCAGGAGUUCUGUGACCUAUGGGAAUGGCCCAUCAGCUUGGUGGCCUGAGCUCCUGAGGCUAGCGACGUGCUCCACAGGACCUGCCUCAUUCGGCCAGCCUGACUGAAGGAGCCCUGCCCCCCAACCCAGCCCAGGUUUUGGUCUUUCGUGGGGCCCCUUUCCCAAAUCCACUAGUGGAGGAGAGAAGGAAACCUCCCUUACUAGACCACCCUCAAGUACAGGGAGAGCGCUCACUCCCCACUUAGAGCUCAUGACCGCAGCUGGCGCACAAUGAACACGGAAUCAAGGCAUCUUGAGAAAGAAUGACUGAUGGCCUCUGUCUGGGUGGCCUCAUGACUCGGUUCCCUCAGUCCUUCCGGGGGCCAACUCAGACCCCACCUCCGUCUCCCAUCCUGCCUGGCUACUCACCAGACUGCUUCCAAUCACUGCACUUAGGAUCAGAGAAAUCUGGGUCCAAAUGCUGUGUGACUUCAGGCAAACAGCCCUACCUCUCUGAGCCUCCAUGUCUGCAUCCCCAAAACCUGGGAUCAAGUCAGGACUCUAGAACUGAAUGGAGGAGCAGGCACCCAGCAUGACCCCGGCUGGGCCUGGAGGAACGCUUAACAGGGCCCUCCUCGCACGGAAAGACAGGAAGACCUCCCAGGCAAGGAGAGUGAGGCAGAGGGCGAGGCCUGCCUGGGAACCAGGAUUCCUCCAGGAGAGAGCAGACCUUUAGCCCCAGGCUCAGGCCGGGUGGGGGCGGCAGCAGCCGCCCACGACAUUCUAGGAGCAACCCCUUACUUCACUUUCCAUGAGCGGCCGCACUAGGAGAGCCAGAAAUAAAGGCUGCACGGUCCCAUGGACGCUGUCCUGGUUCCUCCCUCCUGGACCCUCUCUCUGCUUUUCCGGCCUCGCACCCUCCACUGUUUGAUCCUGAUCAUUUUUUCACAUCACGUCCAUCACCUAUUGUCCAUUUUAUGG